CACGUAGGGUGCGAGCGGUGUCCGGAAUUAUUGGGCGUAAAGAGCUCGUAGGCGGUGUGUCGCGUCGGCCGUGAAAACCUGCAGCUUAACUGUGGGCUUGCGGUCGAUACGGGCAUCACUGGAGUUCGGCAGGGGAGACUGGAAUUCCUGGUGUAGCGGUGAAAUGCGCAGAUAUCAGGAGGAACACCGGUGGCGAAGGCGGGUCUCUGGGCCGAUACUGACGCUGAGGAGCGGAAGCGUGGGGAGCGAACAGG
rnacentral:rRNA from 1 species